rnacentral:tRNA from 1 species
GGGCGUCGGGGGUAUCGGGGGUAUCGGGGGUGCUGGGGCCACCCCCGGAGCGUACGGGGUGGCCGUUCGCUCCGGUGGCCGCUCGC